AUUGAACGCUGGCGGCAUGCCUUACACAUGCAAGUCGAACGGUAACAGGUCUUCGGAUGCUGACGAGUGGCGAACGGGUGAGUAAUACAUCGGAACGUGCCCGAUCGUGGGGGAUAACGGAGCGAAAGCUUUGCUAAUACCGCAUACGAUCUACGGAUGAAAGCGGGGGAUCUUCGGACCUCGCGCGGACGGAGCGGCCGAUGGCAGAUUAGGUAGUUGGUGGGAUAAAAGCUUACCAAGCCGACGAUCUGUAGCUGGUCUGAGAGGAUGAUCAGCCACACUGGGACUGAGACACGGCCCAGACUCCUACGGGAGGCAGCAGUGGGGAAUUUUGGACAAUGGGGGCAACCCUGAUCCAGCCAUGCCGCGUGAGUGAAGAAGGCCUUCGGGUUGUAAAGCUCUUUCAGCCGGGAAGAAAACGCACUCUCUAAUAUAGGGUGUGGAUGACGGUACCGGAAGAAGAAGCACCGGCUAACUACGUG
rnacentral:rRNA from 1 species